AAUUGAGGCUUCCCGUGCUUGGUGAUGGCUAUCUUAGCCAUCUGGGCAUUGGCAGGAGGAGUGGGAGAUGGUGAGGAGAGAGCAGAACACAGCAAUCUGCCUUAUGUGCCGCCUGCUUUUAAGCCCCUUUUCUAUGGGACCAGCUUCUGUUUGCCUCUCUCUUCCUAAUUUCAUCUGUUCAACUUACUAGAGGAAAAAAAAAAGUCUGCCAAAGGAUAGGACUCCAUCAUACAAGCAGACGGUGACUGUGAUGCUCAUGAAGCCUCCCUCCAUCACCAGUGACGUGCCCUCCCUCCAUCACCAGUGACGUGCCUUUUACCAACCUCUUCACUGUCAUUUGGACUUCACCUUUGAAGCUCCAAGGUCACCCCAUCCAAUGAUAAUUGUCAUUGAAUUGGAAAUGUAAUUACAUGAUUGUUAAUCAAAUCUAUUUUCUCCAGACUGAAGAAACAACUGAAAUGGUCCGUGGGGAGCUUCUUCCUGUUAUGGCAACUGGAAAAGGAUGUGGAACUUGCUCUUUGAUGAGAAGGUUGACUCCAUGUAAGCCUCCUGGGGAUGUGAGGAGAGCAGAGGGCAGUUGGUUUCAUUUUGGAAAGAUCAGAAUUUUCUUUAUCCUUUGGAGGCCUUAAUUAAUUUUCUGGACCAUGAGCCGUGCCUUCAAAGAACAUGGAGGACGGAUCAGAUUGCUAGCGCUUGACCCGCAGAGCAGUGAUGAAAUGCCAUUUCCUGAGAUGGGGAACUGAAGACGGUGGAAGAUGGAGAAGAAGGUUGGUUCACUUUUGCACCUGUGAUGCUGAAGCUGCUCUUGGUCAUCCAGGUUGAGUUGUCGAGAAGGCAGGUGAUGUGUGAGACUGGUACUCAGAGCACAGGUCUGUCCCAGAGAGAUACAGUUUGGAAAUUUCACCAACUGCUAGCACAAGUUUUUCUCGACUCUGAGCAUCCCUACUAAAGAACGUUACUAUUUCAGCUGCAAUGCAGGAUUCACAAAAGUUCAAGCACUUGUUCCGCCAGCUUGGACUCUGAAUAACAGGUGGUCUGAAACCCCUUCAAAGUGGACGAGAGAGAAUGAGAGAGAAGCUGACACAUAAAAUUCACCACCACCAUUGGGUACCAGUGUCUACAGAGCUGGGGCAGCAGGCAGUGGUCACAGGGCACUGUGGUACCAGGGAUUAUCAUCAGCUGGGGAGCAGAUGAAGACAACGCACCUGAAGGUCUCAUCUAGAGAAUGAUCGGCGGUUCCAAAAGUCACUGGAGAGUCAGCUUGCAAAGAUUCCAGGAGCAACUGAAAGUGGCUUCACAAUUUGUGUAUGUAUAUUUCAAAAUGCUCCCCUGGUGGCUCAGAGGGUGAAGAAUCUGCCUGCUAUGCAGGAGACCAAGGUUCAAUUCCUGGGUUGUGAAGAUCCCCUGGAGAAGGGGAUGGCUACCC